GGGUGCGGUGGUCGCGGGGCCUUCGGGCCUCGAGGAAAGUCCGAGCUCCACAGGGUCGAUUGCCAGGUAACGCCUGGGCGCCGCAAGGCGACGGACAGGGCCACAGAAAAUAUACCGCCCACCUCGGUGGGUAAGGGUGAAAAGGUGGGGUAAGAGCCCACCGCGCCGCUGGUAACAGCGGUGGCAGGGUAACCCCCAAUCGGAGCAAGGCCAAAUAGGCGGCGAGGUGCGGCCCGCACCGUUCGAGCCGUGGGUAGGCUGCUCGAGGCGUCCGGCGACGGACGUCCCAGACAGAUGACCGCCCGUCUACCUCGGUAGACGAACAGAACUCGGCUUACGGCCCGGCCUC
rnacentral:RNase_P_RNA from 1 species